UCUCCGUUGGUGAACCAGCGGAGGGAUCAUUACCGAGUUUACAACUCCCAAACCCAAUGUGAACCAUACCAAACUGUUGCCUCGGCGGGGUCACGCCCCGGGCGCGUCGCAGCCCCGGAACCAGGCGCCCGCCGGAGGGACCAACCAAACUCUUUCUGUAGUCCCCUCGCGGACGUUAUUUUUUACAGCUCUGAGCAAAAAUUCAAAAUGAAUCAAAACUUUCAACAACGGAUCUCUUGGUUCUG
rnacentral:misc_RNA from 1 species